rnacentral:rRNA from 1 species
GCUAGUAAUGGCAGGUCAGCAUACUGCCGUGAAUACGUUCCCGGGCCUUGUACACACCGCCCGUCACACCAUGAGAGUUGGGAAUACCCGAAGCCUGUGAGCUAACGUUAAGAGGCAGCAGUCGAAGGUAGAAUCAAUGAUUGGGGGUGAAGUCGUAACAAGGUAAC